rnacentral:piRNA from 1 species
UACAUUUACACAGCAGAAACUCGGUCGGC